rnacentral:rRNA from 1 species
UAUAAUUGCCAGCUAAGUGGCGCACGGGUGAGUAAUGUAUAGAUAACCUGCCCUUAAGAAAGGAAUAACAGUUGGAAACGACUGCUAAUGCCCUAUAUGCCUUUAAUACAUAAGUAUGCAAGGGAAACGCUUUAGUGCUUAAGGAUGGGUCUGUAUGGUAUCAGCUUGUUGGUGAGGUAAUGGCUCACCAAGGCUAUGACGCCUAACUGGUUUGAGAGGAUGAUCAGUCACACUGGAACUGAGACACGGUCCAGACUCCUACGGGAGGCAGCAGUGGGGAAUAUUGCACAAUGGACGAAAGUCUGAUGCAGCAACGCCGCGUGGAGGAUGACACAUUUCGGUGCGUAAACUCCUUUUAUAUAGGAAGAUAAUGACGGUACUAUAUGAAUAAGCACCGGCUAACUCCGUGCCAGCAGCCGCGGUAAUACGGAGGGUGCAAGCGUUACUCGGAAUCACUGGGCGUAAAGAGCGUGUAGGCGGGUAUAUAAGUCAGAAGUGAAAUCCAAUAGCUCAACUAUUGAACUGCUUUUGAAACUGUAUACCUAGAAUGUGGGAGAGGUAGAUGGAAUUUCUGGUGUAGGGGUAAAAUCCGUAGAGAUCAGAAGGAAUACCGAUUGCGAAGGCGAUCUACUGGAACAUUAUUGACGCUGAGACGCGAAAGCGUGGGGAGCAAACAGGAUUAGAUACCCUGGUAGUCCACGCCCUAAACGAUGACACUAGUUGUUGUGAGGCUCGACCUUGCAGUAAUGCAGUUAACACAUUAAGUGUACGCCUGGGGGAGUACGGUCGCAAGAUUAAAA